UACGAAGGGGGCUAGCGUUGUUCGGAAUUACUGGGCGUAAAGCGCACGUAGGCGGAUAUUUAAGUCAGGGGUGAAAUCCCGCAGCUCAACUGCGGAACUGCCUUUGAUACUGGGUAUCUCGAGUAUGGAAGAGGUGAGUGGAAUUGCGAGUGUAGAGGUGAAAUUCGUAGAUAUUCGCAGGAACACCAGUGGCGAAGGCGGCUCACUGGUCCAUUACUGACGCUGAGGUGGCGAAAGCGUGGGGAGCAAACAGG
rnacentral:rRNA from 1 species